rnacentral:lncRNA from 1 species
CGCGCACAGCCGGGGCCGCCCGGGGGGGCUCUAGAGCCCGGCGGGCCGCGAGCGCCGCAGGGGCAGUGCCGGCCCGUCCUCCCUCAGCACUACGGACACCACGGCGGCGGCGGCUGCCCGGCUCCGGGCUGUAGCUGUUGUUGCCAUGAUGAUGAUGUCACGGACGCAACCAUUGGGGGGAGUGGGGGGAGGACGGGCCAUGGUUUGGGGGGAAGCGAGGGAGAGAGGUGUCUUAUCCCCCCCCCACCACCAGCCCGGCUCAGCAGACGUGCGUAAGGCUUCGGAGGUUUUUUUUCUCCCCCAAAUUAUUAUUCUCCCCCCCACCCUUUUCUUCCCUGGGUGGCAAGAAGCGGGGGGUGGGGCGGGGGGAGCUCGAUGAUUCGGUGAUCGGCCGCCGAGGUCGGGGCGAGGCUGCGGAAUUCCGAGCCGCGGAUUGGACAGGCCGGGGGUGGGGGGAGGACGAGAGAACGCCGCCGGGCCAGGAUUGGGUUAAGCUGGGUCGGCCGCCAUUUUGGAUGCUGAGCCGUCUCGCUGCGGGAAGAUUGAGAGCACACUUCUACUUUUUGUAUUCUUUUUGCAAUCAAGUGAAGAAGUUAGCCUCCAGGAUCACGCCAAGGAUGUUCUACAUUUCUAAGGUCUAUACUGUGAAACCUUGGAGUGCUCUGUCUAUGGGGAUGCCCUGGGUGUACCCCAACUGCAUGUCAGAAUGA